rnacentral:rRNA from 1 species
UACGUAGGUCCCGAGCGUUGUCCGGAUUUAUUGGGCGUAAAGCGAGCGCAGGCGGUUAGAUAAGUCUGAAGUUAAAGGCUGUGGCUUAACCAUAGUAUGCUUUGGAAACUGUUUAACUUGAGUGCAGAAGGGGAGAGUGGAAUUCCAUGUGUAGCGGUGAAAUGCGUAGAUAUAUGGAGGAACACCGGUGGCGAAAGCGGCUCUCUGGUCUGUAACUGACGCUGAGGCUCGAAAGCGUGGGGAGCAAACAGG